rnacentral:sRNA from 1 species
UUGUAUCGCCUUAUCGGGCGUUUCCUCCCUAAACUCAGGUCGCCCUUCGGGGCGGCCUUUUUUUAAUUUAUG